rnacentral:lncRNA from 1 species
UCCUUUAUACAUUAUACCUGUUAUGAAGAGUUCUUGUGCAGCUUCAAUGAUUUCGAUUUUUAAUGAUAGGCCAUGCUCUUUUGUAGAACACAAGUUAUAGCUAUCCACUCAUGGACCAUCAUAAAUUUCCUAUUCGGUGACCUCGUCACAUAAUCUGAUCUGUUGGACAUGAUUUAGGACAUUCCCUCUUCUCAAUAUUUUCCUGUUUACUGUUGUCACAGUAGGUAGAAUUGUCCCCAUAAGUGACCUAUGAAACUGUAUAGUAAUUACUUUCUUGGUAUAUGCUAGGUCAACUAAUCUCCUUCCUUCUAGAGAGCCAAGUUCUAGGAUUUGCUUCUUCUGUUUUCAGUCUCUUAUAAUAGCUGAAAAAUAGCUAGCGUUGACAUCUCCAAGUUUUAGCCACAUUGCCAAGGCCUUUUGUUGCAUGACACUCUCUUCAAUCGUAGACCAUUUCUCAAGUUGGCAAAUGAGGUUCUUUUCUUCUACUGCCAGUUCAUCUGAGUACUAUUUUCUUAUCUUGGUUUGAACCUCUUGUAGAUUGUCUCUUACUUGAUUUAAUCUUGUUGCAAUACCCUUGAACUCAGUUUCAUUUAGCAUCUUUAACUUCUCUCUGAGAUCCCUUUGUUUCUUCCAUAUAUUUCUCAUCUUGUGCCAGUGAUUCCUCUGUGUCCAUUUUUACUCCACUAAUUUAAGAAAUCUGUCAUGUUUGCCAAGACAUUGAAGAAUUUAAAAGAUGAUUGAUCUUUGGCUCUCUAAUGUUAGUGGCUAUCAUCAUAGGACAAUAAUUUGAUGUAUGUGGGAGUUUAUACUCAUUAGUUAAAUACCCUAAUUGCAUCAUCCAUUCUGUAUUUCCCAUAACUCUGUUAAUUCUACUCCGAUCAAGAUUAUAUCUCCUCCUUGUUGUUUAUUUGACUAUGUGUAGUAGUCUCCCUUCCAAGGCAAUUCAUUGAGCAUCAGAUGUUGGCAUGUUGCACACAAUUGGCAAAGUCCCUCAUCUCAAGACUAGUAAUUGUUGCACAAUGUAGCAUGUCUUGUGUACAUAGUAUUGAAUUUAAAUCUUCCCAAAUAAGCCAAGGCUUAGAGCACGUAUGUGAGAAGAUCACUAAUUACUGACAAAAUUCUUUCCUCUGGUCUAAUGUAUUAUGACCAUAGAUCACAGUCAUGUCACAAUCUAUUACUUGAUUCCUUCUAAUCACAUUACUGCGAAUAAGUUGUGCUUCAUUCUUCAAAAUCUUAAUCUAAUAUACAUGUAAGGCCCUGUGAAAUAAGUGCUCAGAUGUUACCAGCUCAUACAGUCGAGUCUACCUACAUGGAUUGGAUCCUUUUUACUUUUUUGAACUUAAAAAUGUGAAAUCAAAAUUUUUCCAGAAAAUGGUCAAAAUGCAGUCCAGAAUGCGAUCGCAAAUCAGCCAUUCGAACUGCAUUCCUACCGCAGAGUGAAUCAGAGAGUAAC